GAUGAACGCUAGCUACAGGCUUAACACAUGCAAGUCGAGGGGAAACGACAUCGAAAGCUUGCUUUUGAUGGGCGUCGACCGGCGCACGGGUGAGUAACGCGUAUCCAACCUGCCCACCACUUGGGGAUAACCUUGCGAAAGUAAGACUAAUACCCAAUGACGUCUCUAGAAGACAUCUGAAGGAGAUUAAAGAUCUAUCGGUGAUGGAUGGGGAUGCGUCUGAGUAGCUUGUUGGCGGGGUAACGGCCCACCAAGGCGACGAUCAGUAGGGGUUCUGAGAGGAAGGUCCCCCACAUUGGAACUGAGACACGGUCCAAACUCCUACGGGAGGCAGCAGUGAGGAAUAUUGGUCAAUGGGCGAGAGCCUGAACCAGCCAAGUAGCGUGCAGGAUGACGGCCCUAUGGGUUGUAAACUGCUUUUAUAAGGGAAUAAAGUGAGUCUCGUGAGACUUUUUGCAUGUACCUUAUGAAUAAGGACCGGCUAAUCCCGUGCCAGCCGCCGCAGUAA
rnacentral:rRNA from 1 species